CAGUAGCCGCGGGAAUACGAAGGGGGCUAGCGUUGCUCGGAAUGACUGGGCGUAAAGGGCGCGUAGGCGGUUGACACAGUCAGAUGUGAAAUUCCUGGGCUUAACCUGGGGGCUGCAUUUGAGACGUCAAGACUAGAGUGUGAGAGAGGGUUGUGGAAUUCCCAGUGUAGAGGUGAAAUUCGUAGAUAUUGGGAAGAACACCGGUGGCGAAGGCGGCAACCUGGCUCAUUACUGACGCUGAGGCGCGAAAGCGUGGGGAGCAAACAGGAUUAGAUACCCCAGUAGUCCCUGUCUCUUAUAC
rnacentral:rRNA from 1 species